GGUCACAAUAAUCUGUAGGGAAGCCAAUUCUACAAGAAACAAAACCGGAGGGAGUUGCCAUUGGAUGGGAAGGAUCCAGCUUUGGAGAUAUCCCCAGUGGGGAAUGGCCAUCAAUAUGCCACUCUCAUGAGCUCUACCAAUCAUAGCACAUCCAGAAUGUUUUGUUCCUCUCAUUUCUCAAGAUGGACAGAGUAUCACACGCGAUGAGAAGAUGGCCUCAUCCAAUGUUCAGGUAGCUGAAGCCACAUGACACACAGCACAUAGAAAAAAGGCUGGAGAGAGAGAUCUGUUUUUACCAGUCUUUGUCUCUAAGAGGUUUCAUACACCAGAGCAUCCUAUUCUUGAGAUUGAAGUGAUUACUUCAUUGUUUUCAAUGCUUAACCACAGAAAGUGUGCACGAAUCUACGUUGCAUAAACGAAGGCAGAGAAACCACCUGAAGGAGUUGCUGGUGGAGAUAAGCAGACAUUUCCUGCACUGGCUAUUUGAAAUCGCCACAUUAAUUGCAUUAGUAAAAAGCAGGGGGGUGGGACAGUGUUCAUUAUAAGGCUUCUGUUAUGGUUUUUGCCAGUAAAUGCAGGAUGUGAGACCCACGCUGCUUUUACUUCGUACACUACUGAUUCAGCCUAACAAGUGAAAGUGUUUCUUUAAAAAAAAAUCUCCAAUGCCACACACCUGAAUUCUCACGUUACCUGCUGAAUUCAUCUUAUGUCUCUACUGGGUGGUUCUUACAGGCCUGUCUUAUGUCUUCAAUUGUAAGCUGUUCCAGGAAACAAGCAGUGACUGUCAACGAGGUGAAAACACCACGGACUCUGGUCCUACAAUGAUGGAUCAUGAUGAGGCCCUGCCCCCGGCAUUCGUGCUCUCUCUAGCACUCAGGAGGAGACGGGCCACCACGUUUCCAGACAAGGAGACACAUCUCAAGAGGGAAGUGCUGAUGAGAUCCAAUGAGAAAUAACCGGGAAGAAAGAGUGCUGCGCUGGAUGGGUUUCUGGAGCAGCGAUCAUUUGGUGAUUCCCUUGAAAAUUGCCUUCACAAUGCUGCCGUUGUACAAGAACAGAGCAUCCACACUUUCUGGAGGUUGCCACCAGGUCCCUUCACCUGUCACUGAAUAUCCCAAGUCAGACAACUACUUCUGCUUUUCCUUUCAUGUUGACGAGUGCCGCAGCUCCAACACACGCCUGGGGUCUCCUCGGCAUAAACUGUGCUCGUGUUUCCUCAAUACAUUUUACCUGUGACAAUAAAGGUGUCCUUAGGGUUUCUCUGACUGCAAUAUGUAAGGACAGUGGGUCGUGAAAUCUAAAUUUAAACUGACCUCCUCCGACUGACUUAUUUCACUCAGCAUUUGGGGAAUAUAAA